rnacentral:lncRNA from 1 species
GGUGCUCGAGUCUAUUUCCCUUUUUGGAAUGAAUAUGUUCAAACAUACUCCAAUUUCUCUCGCAACUUGAAGAACUACAUGUUUGACUUAAUACUUGAAUUGUAAGUGUUUGUAGAUUUAGUGCACUGCUACCAUAACACAUCCACCAUUCAUCUGUACCAAAACAAAGAGAAAACAAAAUAAGCAUACGUUACAUACACUGAAAUCUAAAUUAUAUAAUACAAAAAAGUACAUAAAAUGAGAAUAAAAUUCACCAAGAGGCAUUCUAUGACGAUCAGCUACAGCAGAUAAACGUCCAGAUUCACCAUGUGCUUGCCUAAAUAGUCUUAUUUCACUAGUCAAUUUGCUUCUUAAAUCAGAUUGACCAUAAGCAUAUCUCUUGAUUACAUCUAAAAAUCCCAAAAUAGUUUGUUAUGAUUUUUCAUAUCAGGAUUAUUGUAUUGGAAAGACGGGUUUGACCAAUACCCAGCGGCAUGAAAAUCCUUACGCAAUUGACUAUCCCAUCGAUUCUGAAUAAUUUGCAAAUAAGGAGCGAUUAUCUUCUUCCUUCUUUGAAAUCUACGUUCCAUCUCACUUUUUGCUACAUGAAUGGCUUCAUACAAGUAGCCCAUCGAAGGCUUUUCGUCACUAUCAACAAUCCGUAGAACAAGAACUAGGGGCUCAGUAAGUUGCACAAUAGUAGCACACUCUUUCCAAAACACAGAAUCAAGUACGUCAUCAACAAAUCUUUUCCCUUUACUUUCCUUUGCAUACGCUGAUAAAGUCCAUUCUCUAGAUGUCACCAUUUCUCUUAAUGAGUCCUUUUGGGCUAAUAUGCUUUGUAAAACAAUAAAGUUAGUGGCAAAACAAGUAGGACCAGUUCGAAGUAUUUCCUUUCUUCCGGUAAACUUCCUCAUCAAAUGCAAUGUGUAACAAUGGUUGUAUAUGUAUUUUGUGAUACUUUAGAUAUGACAUUACCAACUUCAUCAAGUUUACCAAUAUCAUGAAACAUUAAAUUAAUGCAAUAUGCUGCACAUGGAGACCAAACUAAUGUUUGAAACUCUCGCUCCAAUAACCUACCAGCGGCAACAUAAUUUGCAGCAUUGUAUGUCACCUUAUAUACCACAUAUUCUGAACCUACAAUUAAUACAAUAUCUCAAAAUAACUUGUAUAACAUGUCAGUACUUUUUGAUUCAUCUGAAGCAUUUACGGAUUUUAAGAAUGCUGCUCCUUUCGGACAAUAAACUAAAAAAAUUAAUAAGCAUUCUUUUGCAUUGAUCUGUCCAACUAUUUGCCAUAAUUGUACAAUCACUUGUCUUCCAUGUUGAACGAUAGCUUUCUACAUCUUUCUGUACUUCCUCAACAUUUUUAGCCAACAAAUAAUCACGAAGAUUGUGAAAGUUUGGCCUUUAUAGCUAGGGCCCAUGCUAGCUAUGGCAUCUAUACUUUGUUGAUAAUACACGAAAUUUCCAGCAUUGAAUGGAAUGCAUGAAUCAAUCAUCUAUUUUGAUAUGGUGAGAUCACAUUUCUCUAUAGCUUCUUUGCUUUGAAGAAUAAUUUUGAUAGUAGGCUAGUUACCAAGUCCUGUUCUUGGCAUGAAGAACAACCCAAUUCCUUUUUGUUGUUUUAAAAAUUUAGCUCCCAUUCAUUUUCUUUCACUUGUCUGAAUAGCUAUACCCUUUCCUUCAGAACUAGGAGGGAUGAUCUCUUGAACAUCAUCAUUACCCAAGUCUCUAUACAUUUGGUCUUCUUGUUCUCGAUAAUAAGAGCUAUGUGGGUCACACUCAUCAAGAACUUCUUGAGUUCUACGCUUCUUUGCAGCAAAGUUGUCCAAGUUUUCUUUAAUUUUAAAUCUAACAUUAGGGGGUACUUUAUGACAAGAACCUACAUCACCUUUUAUUCCCGCAAAGUGUUGUUUGACUCGAUUAAUACCACCACCAGCAAAAGUCUUUCCAUAAUACAAGUAAACAAGUUUUUUUCCCCAUUACUACUAGCUUCAAUAAUCUGUUUACAAUGACCCCAUGCUAUAUUUGUUUUUCCUCUAGCAUGUCUUUUUGGUGGAGAAGAAUGUGGUAAACUAUCAUCACCAAUGAAUUAUACAAAGAUACAAGUUUAUGUUGAAUCAUAUAUCAUUAGAAGUGUUACAAAAAAUUGGACACAUUAAGAAAUUUCAACACCAAAUGAUCUGAUCGAAUAUUAAAACUUCUCCAUUUCACCUUUUCUAAUUGGUACACAUGUCGUGUGGACAAAUAUAAAAUUCUUAAUCAACAUAAAAUUAGCUAACUAUAUUACAGUGACAUUGAUUUAGCAACCACCAGUUUAGGGAUUGGAAGCUCCAAAGUGAAAGUGUGAAAACUGAAAAUCCCAUUUGACUUUAUGAAUUUUUUAGGGACAGUGACACGUUUAAUUAAAAGGUAAGCUUCUAAAUCAAUGGCAAAUAGAGUUGAUUUUUAUUUUAUUUUUUCAUUUUUCAUUUUUUUUAAAGACAGUAGAUGUCUCCCACUGAAAAACUCCUUUAUCAAAAGUUCACAUAAUCACAUGCUAAUGGGUUCUCUUCUCUACUUGACAAAUGGGUCCUUAGACUUAAAGUCUCAAAUUAGAUCAUCCAAAAAUUGAUAAAUUACAGUAUGCUCACGAAUCACAAAGCUACAAAAAGAAUCAUUACAACAAUUGAGAUUUACAGCAUGCUUACACAUCUAAUUAGCUAACUAAAUUACAACAAUUGAUCAACAUACAAUUAAAGCAAUCUACAAAGAGAAAAUCCAUAAACCAACAAGUAGAACUGUGAAAUUCAACCAAAACAGGCAAUUUUAAUAAUCUGAACUUUCAUUAUGAUAGCCAACAACACAGACUUGAAAUUGAAAUACGAACAAAAAGGAGAAAUACAAACAGAAAAGAGAUAGCCAGCAACAUGCAUACGGAUCAGAUUUUCUUCUUGUAGAUUCUAUAAAAAUUUAAACUUACAUCUUCUUCUUCCAUCUAAUAUAACUUGAAAUUUGAAGUUCGGAUUCUUGGGAGUGAAAUUGAGACUUGCAAGAGACGGG